AACUUUCAACAACGGAUCUCUUGGCUCUCGCAUCGAUGAAGAACGCAGCGAAAUGUGAUAAGUAAUGUGAAUUGCAGAAUUCAGUGAAUCAUCGAAUCUUUGAACGCACCUUGCGCUCUCUGGUAUUCCGGAGAGCAUGCCUGUUUGAGUGUCA
rnacentral:rRNA from 1 species